rnacentral:rRNA from 1 species
UACGUAGGGGGCAAGCGUUGUCCGGAUUUAUUGGGCGUAAAGAGCGUGUAGGCGGCCAGGUAGGUCUGCUGUGAAAACUCGAGGCUCAACCUCGAGACGCCGGCGGAAACCAUCUGGCUAGAGUCCGGAAGAGGAGAGUGGAAUUCCUGGUGUAGCGGUGAAAUGCGCAGAUAUCAGGAAGAACACCCGUGGCGAAGGCGGGUCUCUGGACAGUUCCUGACGCUGAGGCACGAAGGCCAGGGGAGCAAACGGG